ACCUGGGAUGGCUCAGUAGGUAGAUCAUGAGACUCUUAAUUUCAGGAUCGUGGGUUCAAGCCCCACAUUGGGCA